rnacentral:tRNA from 1 species
CAAAGCAUAGCUAAACUACUAAAGCAUCUCGCUUACACUGAGAAGUUAUCUGUGAAAAUCAGAUUGCCUUGA